GGUUAAGCGACUAAGCGUACACGGUGGAUGCCCUGGCAGUCAGAGGCGAUGAAGGACGUGCUAAUCUGCGAAAAGCGUCGGUAAGGUGAUAUGAACCGUUAUAACCGGCGAUGUCCGAAUGGGGAAACCCAGUGUGAUUCGUCACACUAUCGUUAACUGAAUACAUAGGUUAACGAGGCGAACCGGGGGAACUGAAACAUCUAAGUACCCCGAGGAAAAGAAAUCAACCGAGAUUCCCCCAGUAGCGGCGAGCGAACGGGGAGCAGCCCAGAGUCUGAAUCAGCUUGUGUGUUAGUGGAACGGUCUGGAAAGUCCGACGGUACAGGGUGAUAGUCCCGUACACCAAAAUGCACAGGCUGUGAACUCGAAGAGUAGGGCGGGACACGUGGUAUCCUGUCUGAAUAUGGGGGGACCAUCCUCCAAGGCUAAAUACUCCUGACUGACCGAUAGUGAACCAGUACCGUGAGGGAAAGGCGAAAAGAACCCCGGCGAGGGGAGUGAAAAAGAACCUGAAACCGUGUACGUACAAGCAGUGGGAGCACCUUCGGGUGUGACUGCGUACCUUUUGUAUAAUGGGUCAGCGACUUAUAUUCUGUAGCAAGGUUAACCGUAUAGGGGAGCCGCAGGGAAACCGAGUCUUAACUGGGCGUUAAGUUGCAGGGUAUAGACCCGAAACCCGGUGAUCUAGCCAUGGGCAGGUUGAAGGUUGGGUAACACUAACUGGAGGACCGAACCGACUAAUGUUGAAAAAUUAGCGGAUGACUUGUGGCUGGGGGUGAAAGGCCAAUCAAACCGGGAGAUAGCUGGUUCUCCCCGAAAGCUAUUUAGGUAGCGCCUCGUGAAUUCAUCUUCGGGGGUAGAGCACUGUUUCGGCUAGGGGGUCAUCCCGACUUACCAACCCGAUGCAAACUACGAAUACCGAAGAAUGUUAUCACGGGAGACACACGGCGGGUGCUAACGUCCGUCGUGAAGAGGGAAACAACCCAGACCGCCAGCUAAGGUCCCAAAGUCAUGGUUAAGUGGGAAACGAUGUGGGAAGGCACAGACAGCCAGGAUGUUGGCUUAGAAGCAGCCAUCAUUUAAAGAAAGCGUAAUAGCUCACUGGUCGAGUCGGCCUGCGCGGAAGAUGUAACGGGGCUAAACCAUGCACCGAAGCUGCGGCAGCGACACUAUGUGUUGUUGGGUAGGGGAGCGUUCUGUAAGCCUGCGAAGGUGACCUGUGAGGGUUGCUGGAGGUAUCAGAAGUGCGAAUGCUGACAUAAGUAACGAUAAAGCGGGUGAAAAGCCCGCUCGCCGGAAGACCAAGGGUUCCUGUCCAACGUUAAUCGGGGCAGGGUGAGUCGACCCCUAAGGCGAGGCCGAAAGGCGUAGUCGAUGGGAAACAGGUUAAUAUUCCUGUACUUGGUGUUACUGCGAAGGGGGGACGGAGAAGGCUAUGUUAGCCGGGCGACGGUUGUCCCGGUUUAAGCAUGUAGGCUGGUUGUCCAGGCAAAUCCGGAUAAUCAAGGCUGAGGUGUGAUGACGAGGCACUACGGUGCUGAAGUAACAAAUGCCCUGCUUCCAGGAAAAGCCUCUAAGCAUCAGGUAACAUCAAAUCGUACCCCAAACCGACACAGGUGGUCAGGUAGAGAAUACCAAGGCGCUUGAGAGAACUCGGGUGAAGGAACUAGGCAAAAUGGUGCCGUAACUUCGGGAGAAGGCACGCUGGUGUGUAGGUGAAGUCCCUGCGGAUGGAGCUGAGACCAGUCGAAGAUACCAGCUGGCUGCAACUGUUUAUUAAAAACACAGCACUGUGCAAACACGAAAGUGGACGUAUACGGUGUGACGCCUGCCCGGUGCCGGAAGGUUAAUUGAUGGGGUUAUCCGUAAGGAGAAGCUCUUGAUCGAAGCCCCGGUAAACGGCGGCCGUAACUAUAACGGUCCUAAGGUAGCGAAAUUCCUUGUCGGGUAAGUUCCGACCUGCACGAAUGGCGUAAUGAUGGCCAGGCUGUCUCCACCCGAGACUCAGUGAAAUUGAACUCGCUGUGAAGAUGCAGUGUACCCGCGGCAAGACGGAAAGACCCCGUGAACCUUUACUAUAGCUUGACACUGAACAUUGAGCCUUGAUGUGUAGGAUAGGUGGGAGGCUUUGAAGCGUGGACGCCAGUCUGCGUGGAGCCAACCUUGAAAUACCACCCUUUAAUGUUUGAUGUUCUAACGUUGGCCCCUUAUCGGGGUUGCGGACAGUGUCUGGUGGGUAGUUUGACUGGGGCGGUCUCCUCCCAAAGCGUAACGGAGGAGCACGAAGGUUAGCUAAUCCUGGUCGGACAUCAGGAGGUUAGUGCAAUGGCAUAAGCUAGCUUGACUGCGAGCGUGACGGCGCGAGCAGGUGCGAAAGCAGGUCAUAGUGAUCCGGUGGUUCUGAAUGGAAGGGCCAUCGCUCAACGGAUAAAAGGUACUCCGGGGAUAACAGGCUGAUACCGCCCAAGAGUUCAUAUCGACGGCGGUGUUUGGCACCUCGAUGUCGGCUCAUCACAUCCUGGGGCUGAAGUAGGUCCCAAGGGUAUGGCUGUUCGCCAUUUAAAGUGGUACGCGAGCUGGGUUUAGAACGUCGUGAGACAGUUCGGUCCCUAUCUGCCGUGGGCGCUGGAGAAUUGAGGGGGGCUGCUCCUAGUACGAGAGGACCGGAGUGGACGCAUCACUGGUGUUCGGGUUGUCAUGCCAAUGGCACUGCCCGGUAGCUAAAUGCGGAAGAGAUAAGUGCUGAAAGCAUCUAAGCACGAAACUUGCCCCGAGAUGAGUUCUCCCUGAGACUUUAAGUCUCCUGAAGGAACGUUAAAGACGAUGACGUUGAUAGGCCGGGUGUGUAAGCGCAGCGAUGCGUUGAGCUAACCGGUACUAAUGAACCGUGAGGCUUAACCUU
rnacentral:rRNA from 1 species